AAGUCGAACGGUAACAUUUCUAGCUUGCUAGAAGAUGACGAGUGGCGGACGGGUGAGUAAUGCUUGGGAACUUGCCUUUGCGAGGGGGAUAACAGUUGGAAACGACUGCUAAUACCGCAUAAUGUCUACGGACCAAACGGGGCCUAGGCUCCGGCGCAAAGAGAGGCCCAAGUGAGAUUAGCUAGUUGGUAAGGUAACGGCUUACCAAGGCGACGAUCUCUAGCUGUUCUGAGAGGAAGAUCAGCCACACUGGGACUGAGACACGGCCCAGACUCCUACGGGAGGCAGCAGUGGGGAAUAUUGCACAAUGGGGGAAACCCUGAUGCAGUCAUGCCGCGUGUGUGAAGAAGGCCUUCGGGUUGUAAAGCACUUUCAGUUGUGAGGAAAAGUUAGUAGUUAAUACCUGCUAGCCGUGACGUUAACAACAGAAGAAGCACCGGCUAACUCCGUGCCAGCAGCCGCGGUAAUACGGAGGGUGCGAGCGUUAAUCGGAAUUACUGGGCGUAAAGCGCACGCAGGCGGUUUGUUAAGCUAGAUGUGAAAGCCCCGGGCUCAACCUGGGAUGGUCAUUUAGAACUGGCAGACUAGAGUCUUGGAGAGGGGAGUGGAAUUCCAGGUGUAGCGGUGAAAUGCGUAGAUAUCUGGAGGAACAUCAGUGGCGAA
rnacentral:rRNA from 1 species